rnacentral:tRNA from 1 species
GCGGUGGUAGCUCAAUUGGUAGAGCGCCAGUCCUCCAAACUGGAUAUUGCGGGUCCGAUCCCCGUCCACCGCU